AAAACUCUUUUACUUCUCUCUCAUCCAUUUUGAGUUUUGAAAACAGCCAUCCCACACCUUUCUUCAUCAAUCAAUCAAAGGAACAAAUUUUUGUGAUCAUCAAUUGUUAUUCCUCAUCUCUCUUUUGGUAUAUUGGAGUCAAUCUCAAAUCUCUUGCUCCUAUCGAUUGGUAACUAACUGGUUCUUCAACAUCUAAUUCAUGAUUCUCCUCUCUGUAUGUAAUUCUAAUUCGUGAUUUUUCUACUUUAUGAAAAAAAAUUAUGUAAUAUAACAUCCAUAUCAGUAGAAGUUUAUUUUGACGUGUGGAUAAAUGGUAGGAAAAUAAAGGAGAGACGAGCUUGCCUGAGGAUAUAACUCAAGGCAGCAGAUUUAGUGUAAUACUAAUUUCAUGUUUUCAAUGCCAACGUACAAUUGGGUAGGAUGUUGGAUAUAGAUUUCUUCAGCACACUAUUUGAUUUUAUUAAUGUUUGGUAUAGAAUGAAUAUGGCUCGGGGUACACGUACAAGACAAUUGCUUGAUUGCUUCUUUGUCUCAUAGCAUGGAUAUAAUUGAAACAAUUUACACAAAAAAAUAAAAAAUCUAUUCAUUAGGCAGCUAGGCCAUGGCAAAAACUACAAGUGAAGCGUAUGCAUGUUUAAUGGUAUCUGAUACCUGUAGCUUUUGGGUACAUCUUCAUGACAUUGGCCUUCCCUACUUAGGCAAUCUAUCCUAGAUUUUACAUUAUGCAUUGGCAUUGCUUGCUAGAAUUGUACCCUAACUUCCUAGGUACAACCUGGAUGAAUUUGUAUUAUGGCAAAGUGAUUUAUGUCUGUUCCUUUGAGUGAGAAACAUUGGACACAUCAACACUUAAAAUUGUGCAAUAUGCAGAGACCAGAGUGACAUCCCUUAAUUAGGAUAGUUGCGUUACGCAUCCCUUAAAUAGGAUAGUUGUAUUAGGCUUCCCUUAAUUAGGAUAGUUGCAUUAGGCAUCUCUUAAUUAGUUUUCUAAAAUGGCGAUUGGCACAGACGACAGUCUUUAUAUAAUCAUCGUCAUAGCAUGUACAUCAACAUAUCAUGAUAUUUUUUGUUUUUUCUUACUUGAUGAAGGGCAGGGUGAUGAGAAAUAAUUAAUAAUUAACUACAGAUCCAAAAGUAGUAAUUUUUUUUAAUACCAUAACAUUAUUAAUAAAUGUCUAAUGAAAUUAGUUUCAAUUUGAAAACUUCAUAGUUCCGUAAUUUAUUAAUUUUGUUUAUAUAUUAAAGAUUAUAUUUCAAUUACGUCAUCCGGUAUAGCCUUUGUUCAUAUGAUGGUUCAUGGUUUUUUUUUUUUUUUUUUUUUGUAUGAAAUUAGAAAAAUACUCGGUUGCAGGCAGAAACCAAACCUGCAGGAAGAUGCACACACUAUAAAUUGAUAACUACAUUUUUUCGUUAACGAGGUAUAUAUCUUUAAUGGUCCUGAAUUGGUCCUGAAUGGAUCAUAAGUGAAAAUAGUGGUUGAUGAGUAGUAGUUGUAGAUGGUCAGCAUCAGACCCUCUUUCUAGCUGUUAAUACAUCAAUAAAAGUUGUGGAUAAGCUGUUAAUGGAAACAAAUAUCAAGAUUUUAGCAAACAUGCAUGUAUGCUCCCAGGCUCUUGAAUCGGGCAUAUGCCACACACAUGAAUCAACUGCUAUGGCUAUGAAGUAGAGUGGUAGACCUAAGGAGUAUUGAUAAUCUUCUCUCAAACCUAUGGUAAUCCACUAAUCUGCUUAUUUUGGGUUGGUGGUGGUUGGGGGAUCUCAUUCUUUUACAAUAAUUAUAGGUAUUAGUGUGGUGGUCGGUUUGGAUAGUGGUGUGGAGUAGAAGAGUUUGGCUUAUAUACUAUGGAAUUAGUUAUAGAUAAGAUCUUCGGUUAGUAUUUGUCCUGAUGUGUCACCACACUUUCUGUUGCAAUGGUUUUUUAAGUUCUAAAUUUUGCAUUUUUGAACUCUUCUCGCUCAUAGAAUAACCAAUGAAGAGACCAACACAACAACAAAGUAUGGAAAUUUUUCAAAGAGAAUUUUUACAGUAUUUUGGUUGACUUCACAUACAAUGAGAAUGUUUUCAAACCUAUUAAUGUGUUAAUCAGAUGCUGUUUUUUUUUUAUUUUUGCUCUUACUUAUCGCCCCUCUCCCUGAACUAAGUAUGAAGGUAAUAAACCUAUUUAUGUGAUCGUUUCAGGAUUUGGGUCCAACUCCACUGAAGAAAUUUGAUUUGGAGCCAAUACCUAAACUGGAAGAAUUUACUGGUGUCCUUCUUCCAUCCUUGGCUUCACUCUAUCAGCUACCCAUGUACCCGACUUGGUAAGUCAACUCUUCGUGAUGGGUAAUUGGAUGGAAAUCUUAUUUAUUCAAUGUGAUCAAUAACAACAUAACAAUACUCAAUUAAUACAAAUUCAACCAGUUUAAUUCAAAAUCAAGCUAAGAAUGAUGAUGAAAUUGAUAUAAACUUUAAAAACUAAAUUACGGUCUUUAUAGACUUAUGCGCUUUUGAGCUUACGAAGGAGCUUGUUCUUUUUGGUUAUUGCAUGGUUUAGACAAUAAUUUGAAUGGGAACUCACUCUCAUUAAAGAGCGCAUCACGACUUCCGUAAACUAUGCCAAUAGAGAUGUGUAAAUAUAUGUAAGCUUUAUGGGAAGAACUAUAUCCAAUAAACACAUGAUUUACUUCUGAAAUCUAGCUUAGUCUUUCUAUAUGUUUUAUCCAAGGAAAGCAAGUACAUUCAUACGAUUUUUGUCAAAUAAGAUGAUGGUUGAAAGUGUCCAGUAGUCCCACUGGUCAGGCACCAAGAUGUCCUUUGAGAUUGGAUAUCAGUGCACAAACAACACACUGAUAUGGUCUUCAACAGUGACAGAAAUAAUUGAAUUUAGUCUGGCACCAUCAAAAUUGAGUACCUCAAUUAUAAACCUCAGAUUAUUUUUGAUCCCCUCAUACUUAGACAUGGAUUAUGGACCAUAUCGUAGCAUGAGUGAUAAGAAACUAUUAAGUAUUAACUCAACCUCCAUACCAGUUUGUGGUACCUUGUUGUAGCUUGAAAGUGUUUUUAACCUUCAUUUAUUUUUCUGAUAAAAAAAGUAUGUUUUCACUCUGCCAACAUGAUUAUCCCAUCUUUGAGAAAUGAAUCUUAGAGCCUUGACCAUUGAGUUUCCUAGGCAAUUCAACUAUAAUAACCGAUGAAAGUAUGAUCUGUUUGACAGUCAUUAUCAAGUAAAAUAUUGCUUAAUCAUAAAUCAAAGAUUAAGUAUUGUUGUUACUUUUACAGGUAAGCUAUAUUUGUCAUUGGAUAUAGGUACUCACCAGACUAUUCUUUCAUGCAGGUAUUCUGAUAUAUAUUUUUCAUCAACUUCUGUCA
rnacentral:lncRNA from 1 species